ensembl:lncRNA
CAGAGCUACAGACAGAUCAUCGGGCUCAGAAACGAAGGAAGGAGGAUGAUGCUGAGAUUCACCCUGUAUACAAAUAUCAGACGAAGAGUCCACAGCAACAGCAACCACAAAGACAGUGAGGUAAUUUAAGAUCUUCAGUCAUGAUUCCUGGCCAGAGCAGAGAGACCAGCUGAUAGACUAUGGUGCAGAGGAGCUGGACUUCCUGCUGGACCAUUUCUCCACCAUAUUAACAAGAAAUGGCUGUAACACCAAUCUGGCUAGAGAGGCGUAUCAGUCCACGAAGAUGUUAAUCUCCAGAAACUACAUGGAUAAAUCCUACCAGGCCCUAUGGGAGAUGAUGCAAAAAAAGUUGCCAUUCUACUCUGAUUACAAGAACAUCCUACAUCUGUGCACAUUAUGC